GGUUAACUUCGAUGCAGCAUUUGAUGUAAACUCACAACAAUCAGCAGCGGGUAUAGUGGCCAGGGAUAGCGACGGAAACACACUCUUAUCAUGUACUGAGAUUCAUCAUCAUGUGGCAUCAGCCUUUGCCGCGGAAGCAAUAGCGUGUCGAACAGCAACUCAAAUAGGCAGGGACAUGCAAUGGUCAAACAUUAUUAUUGAAGGGGAUGCAUUAUCUAUUAUAAAGAAGUGCAAACUGAAAAGCCAUGAUAAAUCCAGAAUCGGAGCAUACAUCCAAGAUAUUCAUCAGCUAUUAAAAAAUUUUGGAAACUACUAUUUUGAGUAUAUUCCCAGAGAAGCUAACAACCUGGCACACAAACUAGCGACGGUGGCAUUAAAGGAAAAAAAAGAGCUUUACCUUCUUGGAAGAGUCCCGGACUACGCUGCGAAUCUGGAAGAAGCCGAAAGAAAGACAGGGGAAAUGUGUUGAGAAGAAAUGAACGGUUACAAGGAAAAAGAAGCUGUAUUGCAAAAUUCAAAGGAGUGGCAGACAAGGCUUCAUUGGAAAUCCGAAAACGUCUCUCUGAAGUAAUGAAUAGAAGAUUUUGAAAAGACGGAAAUGGAUUUUUUCUGAUUGGGCAAGAUAUGUUAGCAUUUAUUAGGUUCUGGAAGUUUUACAGACUGUUUUUUAUUCUUUUUCUUUAAUUUCCUUUUAAGAGUUGGCCCAC
rnacentral:lncRNA from 1 species